rnacentral:rRNA from 1 species
AUGGGCGCCGUCGGUGAGGUCCUUCAGGGCAUGCCGGUGCUCCUCGCAUCGCCGCCGUGGUCGCUCCAAUCGCCGGUAUUAUCGUCUGUAGAGAGGGAGCGGCAGGGAGGAAGGCAAAAAGGUGGGCACCCGAUGGAAUCGAGACGGUCUGGUCGCAACUACAACGAGUCCACCAGGUCCAAGCCCGCGUGGCUUCGCCCGGUCUUCAAUUCCCCAACUGCCCCUUGCCACGUAUGCAAAACAGCCGUCCCAAAACACCAAGCAAGCCAUCAGGAGGUGCUUUGCCCGGUUUGUGCAGGUUCAGGGGAUUAAGUGAGCCAAGAUUGAGUCCAGGGGGUGAUGUAGUCCAAAUCUGGGAGUUGAGGGGGUUAUGUACAUUUAACUCGACCAGAAACAGGACUGGCAUCGGGCUAUCUUCUCGCCUACUCCACACUAUCAACACGUAUUCAUUUUCUUCUUUCUCUAGUCUUCUGGUCUUUUCGGAGCUCCCAGCCAUGGAAAGGAGCAAAAGGCUGAGCCAGAUUAGAUCCACUCCAUCUCAAGACAAGCCCGAGUCUCCCCUCGGUUUGCUACUUUGUGGUCCUCACCUCCACACGCACCUCGUGGCUGGGAUGAUGCUUGGAUCCCGGCCGGUGAACACGUAGCAGGGCCCUAAUAGCAGCUGCAUGAUGGAGAACGCGAGGUCGUCGAACUCGACGAUGCCUUUCCCGUCAGCGUCCAUGGAGGCGAUGGAGUGGAUCUCGUUCCCUUAGCUCCUGCGCAAUUUUGGGGAUCCUGGGAGGGUUAUCCGUCCCCAACCGUCGAGCUGCAGGCGUCGUUGCUGUUCCCAAGCGAGGCACCUGACGCAUCUUCUUCAUCCUCUACAGUAGCAGCCCGGCUUUGGCGUUGCAUUCUUCCACCUGCAAUAUACUUUAAGGUAUUUAUGGAUAUAUAAAAGGCCGGUAGCAUCCGUCUAGUUCACGGCGACGGACAUGGCCUCUGCACCGGCGAACAUUCAAGCCAAUACCCAUCUAGUUCAUAUGCAUGCAAGUAGAGCCACAUUUAAUAAAUCUUUGUUUCUGUCUGACCAAAUCCUUUGGUUUGUAUUGAUCAGUGUAUACAUGUCCUUGCCCUGAGUGCAUGUACCACUCUUAUAUUGUAAAUUCCCAAAGAGACAAUUGAUGACGGCACCUUAGAUUACAAAUUGAUAAUGUACAAUUAGUUAAGUGAAAUCGGUUCUGGCUCUCCAUGUUUCAUGGGGUGAAGCACAAUAUGUGUAAAGCCCUAUCGAGUUUUACCAUCUGAGCCACUUAGUACUGCGAUACAGUGGAGAUUCCAGCAAUCCUACAGUCCGUGGAUACUGCUAUUCAGUAGGUUAAUAGCGUGCCCCCCUUUUUAAAAAACCAUUUUAUUUGUUUUUAGUAACUUUAUUCCUUUUUGUAAUAUAUUUUGAGCUCUUCUUUAGAUAGCUAAUUCUUUGGUCUCAUUUAUUUGCUGUUUCUAUGAGUGUUUGUCCUCAUAUUUAGGUGAAAAUCCGAGUUGAAGAGGCGUGGGUCUAUCAUAAGGACCUGGUGAUUUUCAGGAAUGGAUAUGCGGAUCAUACAUGUUACGAAUCUACAUAACCUACCGAGUAUGCCUCUUUUUCGAUUCUAUUGUCGCCAUAAAGAAAAGCCUCCUUUUUCAAUUCUUUGUGAAAUUAAAAAAUAAGUACAUAUGAGAAAGGAUGGUGUAAUAUCAAUAUAAUUUGCAUAAUUAAAUGUUAAGAUGAGAACGACUAAACAUUCAGUGUCUCCAAACUGGAUAAGUCUGCAUGCACACAUAAUAAGUUAAAUCCAUGUUCUCAUGGACUCUUAAAGUAAACACAAUUGUAUGCUAAUGCAGAUUACUUCCAAGUAUAUAGAAUAUCUAGAAUAUAUUUGUAUAAGUGAAGUCAAGGGGAUUAAGUUUGUAGUUUAGCACUUGCUAAUGCGUCGUCCUAGCCUGUGUUCCUUCCAGGUGCUUUCCUAAUCCUCUUGUCUUCUGUUGAUUCUUUUCUCUUAUUUUUGCAUUCUGUCCUUUUAUUUUUCGUUUUUUCCUUUAGAUUUUGAAUCCAUUCUCACUAAAAGUUGAAUGUGAAUAAUAUACUUUCCUUGCUAGGCAAACUUUAAUAGAAAACUAAUUGUGUUUAUAGAUGCAUAUGUGGCAUUGUAGCACCAAGCUGUUGGUGCAUGUCCGUUCAAACAUAAAAAAAAGAACCUUCUUUCUUAGCUGAGAAUACCUCGUCAUUGGUACCAUCAAUGCUAAAAUGGUCAUGAUUUUUGUCAUGUCCUGCCAGUAAGGUAAGGUAGAAUACCAUAUAGUUUAAAAUAUAAAAUUGGACAUUUGUUUUUCUUAAAACAAAAAUUUAAAGUUUUGACAUGUGUAAAUUAUUUUUGCAGGUACAUGCAUUUAUUGGGUCCAAUAAUCACCCUGGUUAUCGAUAAACGAUUAGAAACAUUGGAUUUGGGGUAUUGCAAAAAUAGUUUAAAGUUCUCACCUUUGAUACUUGAAUAAAAUUGGAAGUGACAGUCAUGAUUGUUUUUUGUGCCAAACUUCCAUUUACCAUAUUUGCUAAAAUAUAUCCCCGUAGAGUGAUCCCUACCUUCUCACCACUGAAAGAAUUUGACCAUGUAAAAGUAAUGUAAAAAGUCAUACAUAAUUCUGAAAUUGCUUACAUAAUUGAAAUAACUUACAAUAGCAAAAGGACGUGCAUCUCGCAGAUGUUUGAAGUUUGCUCUCUGCUUGUCCGUCUGUUCUUCUGUACUUCCUCAAUUGGUUUCAUCAUGGUGAUACAUGCUGGAGAUAAUUUGAUGCACAUAUUACUUACUGGAGGUGGUGUGAUUGCUUGACGGAGCCGAUAACAGUCGAGGAGAGUCAACAGAGGAAACUGGGGCACUUGCAACUAUUGGAGGAAGGUGAUGUCCAAGUGCCGAUCGCUGGAGGAAGACGAUGACGAAGGUGGGCUCUGAAGGUGGGAUCCGACUUGUGGGGCGUGCUGAAACUGACUUGAUGCUAGCUUGUCAGCUAGUUUCAUCGCCCUGGCACCAUUGCUAACGUGAUUGCCAGAGUUCAUAAAUCACAACAUUACCUUCUCGCGGUAUCGCCUCGCCCUGAUUGCUCAAGGUAGUAGCCGCCUGCCUGGGACAACAAAUCAAUCUAAAGUUAGACUUUGUUCCCUUGGUGUUUUGGCAGCAAAAUAUCAUCAACCUCUUGGUUGUGAUGCUUUAAUUGUAAGUUACACUGCAAUUGGCUGCUUCCGCCCUGGCACCAUUUUUUUUUCCUUCUGUGUUUUCUCUUUUUUUCUUUUGGGCGUGCCUGUGCUGCUUCCGCCCCAGCACCUAUCGUGGGUUGUAUCGAUGUUGUUGCUUUGUAAUACAAAGCGGGGGGAAACCCUUUUUCGGCAAUUGUAAGUUACACUGCAUAUGUAGAGGCAACCUUCCAUUAUUAAUCUAUAAUUAUAAUAGUAACUUUGCACAUA